UACGGAGGGUGCAAGCGUUAUCCGGAUUCACUGGGUCUAAAGGGUGCGUAGGUUGAUAGGUAAGUCAGUGGUGAAAUACUCCGACUCAAUCGGAGAACUGCCGUUGAUACUAUCUAUCUUGAAUACGGUGGAGGCGGGCGGAAUGCGUCAUGUAGUGGUGAAAUACUUAGAUAUGACGCAGAACACCCAUUGCGAAGGCAGCUCGCUACACCGGCAUUGACACUGAGGCACGAAAGCGUGGGGAUCAAACAGG
rnacentral:rRNA from 1 species